CCAUGGUUAGCCGAAUGCACUUUUCCCUAGUCAAAUACAUAAGAGGAUAGAUACACCAGCUGGAGAAUGGUGGCUGCAACCAUCAUCUGCUUAAAAUUUCACAUCUGUAGAAGUUCCUUUAACCAUCACCUUCUGUGAAUUUUGUCAGAUAACUUUGGUUUUCAUUUAAAGAAUAGGCAACAUGUCAGUGAGACGUCAGAGGAUCUAACAUCGAGACAUGCUUUACAGGCCUAAAGAAUUCAAGAAUUCAGAGAUUCCCCUUGAAAAAUAUAACCUCAUUUGUGGUGAUUCUGGUGAACAUGCAGAAACAAUUCCCUUUUGUCCUUUUGUUUGUCAGUAACCGAUGUACUUAUAUGACUAAUCUAUUACUACAUUUGUCUAUUUCUGUGGAGUUUAUGUGGUCUGGAUGAAAGAUCAGGUUUGAGAAUAUCCCAUCUUCAUUUUUUGCCUAGUUUCUUUUAUAUCUCUCCAGCAGGCUUCUUUUCCUAAGAUUAGGAAAAGCUCGAAGUUCAAGACGUCAAGAAGGCGGGUCCCCCGAAAUUCCCUGUGUUCAUAUGAGGCGAGGCUUGCAAGCGCCAAGCACACCUGAGAUGCGUCCCUCUUAGCGAAGUAAAACAUCCCAGUUGAAGCAGGUGUCGAGAAUUGAAAAGCUCGGUGCUGAGGGGUACCCAGUGAACUGUCUCAAGAACUCAGCCUUCACACAUGUGUACACAGAUGGGGGCAGCCUCGUGAUCACGGUCCCUGAGUCGAUCAAGACCCCG